CUCUGGGUGGUGUAAACGGUUAACACAUUUGGCUGCUAACCAAAACGUUGGAGGUUCGAGUCUACACAGAGG
rfam:Loxodonta africana unplaced genomic scaffold scaffold_16, whole genome shotgun sequence.